ensembl:misc_RNA Metazoa_SRP Metazoan signal recognition particle RNA
GCUGGGUACGGUGGCGCAUGCCUGUAGUCCCAGCUACUCAGGAGGCUGAGGCGGGCGGAUUGCUUGAGCCCAGGAGUUCUGGGCUGUAAUGCACUAUGCCGAUCAGGUGUCUGCCCUAAGUUCGGCAUCAAUAUGGUGACCUCCCAGGAGCGGGGGACCACCAGGUUGCCUAAGGAUGGGUGAACCAGCCCAGGUCAGAAAUGGAGCAGGUCAAAACUCCCGUGCUGAUCAGUAGUGGGAUCGCACCUGUGAAUAGCCACUGCACUCCAGCCUGGGCAACAUAGCGAGACCCUGUCUCU